rnacentral:misc_RNA from 1 species
GGGGGGUGUCACAUGGGGGAGGAUUAGGGACAGCUAGCAACAGCUGGGAUAUUGGAGAGUCGACGGUUUUUACUGGAAAGUCGCCUGUGGGGAGUGGGGUGAGAGAGAGAGGAGUAGUUCUUCUCAUAACUGGAGGAAUCAGCCACCACGUGCAGAUGUGACCCCUCUCCUUGGCAUCAACUCAUACUACAUAAUGCAUCGUUUAUUCACUAACUUUUUGUUAUAAUUUUCUAUUUUCUCUGCCAAUUUCCCUUUUCCGUGCACGCCCUCACAACUUUGUCUUCCUACUCGCAUUCAACCUUGGCCCUUGGAUUGGAUUGAAUACGUUCAAUUUUAGCUUUAAUUUUGAUUCCGUACAUAUGUUGUAUUUGAGAGAUAUUGAAUUUUAUGAAUAAUUUGGAAAAAGACUUGAUCAAGAUGUUAAACUCUAGCUAGAUCUUUAAUUAAUUAUUUUUUAAUAUCUCGAAAGGGAUUUAUGUACAAGGAGAUCAUAUAUAUGUAGGAGUAUGUAGUUGUGGUAGAGGUAGACACAUGGGAUAGUAUCCUAAGGGCAAGAUAAAAAUAAACAGGAAAG